GAUUGAACGCUGGCGGUAUGCGGUAACACAUGCAAGUCGAACGGAAACGAUACUAGCUUGCUAGUAGGCGUCGAGUGGCGGACGGGUGAGUAACGCGUAGGAAUCUGCCUGAUAGUGGGGGAUAGCCCGAAGAAAUUCGGAUUAAUACCGCAUAAUCUAUUCGUAGUAAAGUGGGGGACUUUCGAGCCUCACGCUAUCAGAUGAGCCUGCGUAAGAUUAGCUUGUUGGUAGGGUAAAAGCCUACCAAGGCGACGAUCUUUAGCUGGUCUGAGAGGAUGAUCAGCCACAUCGGGACUGAGACACGGCCCGAACUCCUACGGGAGGCAGCAGUGGGGAAUAUUGGACAAUGGGGGCAACCCUGAUCCAGCAAUACCGCGUGUGUGAAGAAGGCCUGAGGGUUGUAAAGCACUUUCAAUUGUGAAGAAAAGUUAGCGGUUAAUAACCGUUAGCCUUGACGUUAACUUUAGAAGAAGCACCGGCUAACUCCGUGCCAGCAGCCGCGGUAAUACGGAGGGUGCAAGCGUUAAUCGGAAUUACUGGGCGUAAAGCGUGCGUAGGCGGUUUAUUAAGUCAGAUGUGAAAGCCCCGGGCUUAACCUGGGAACUGCAUUUGAAACUGGUCAACUAGAGUAUGGUAGAGGAAAGUGGAAUUUCUGGUGUAGCGGUGAAAUGCGUAGAUAUCAGAAGGAACAUCAAUGGCGAAGGCAGCUUUCUGGACCAAUACUGACGCUGAGGUACGAAAGCGUGGGUAGCAAACAGGAUUAGAUACCCUGGUAGUCCACGCCGUAAACGAUGAUAACUAGCCGUUGGGGGGAUUUACCCUUUAGUGGCGAAGCUAACGCGUUAAGUUAUCCGCCUGGGGAGUACGGCCGCAAGGUUAAAACUCAAAGGAAUUGACGGGGACCCGCACAAGCGGUGGAGCAUGUGGUUUAAUUCGAUGCAACGCGAAGAACCUUACCUGGUCUUGACAUCCUGCGAACUUUCUAGAAAUAGAUUGGUGCCUUCGGGAACGCAGUGACAGGUGCUGCAUGGCUGUCGUCAGCUCGUGUCGUGAGAUGUUGGGUUAAGUCCCGUAACGAGCGCAACCCCUAUCCUUAUUUGCCAGCACAUCAUGGUGGGAACUAUAAGGAGACUGCCGGUGAUAAACCGGAGGAAGGCGGGGACGACGUCAAGUCAUCAUGGCCCUUACGACCAGGGCUACACACGUGCUACAAUGGGAAGGACAAAGAGCCGCGAAGCCGCGAGGUGUAGCUAAUCUCAUAAACCUUUUCGUAGUCCGGAUUGGAGUCUGCAACUCGACUCCAUGAAGUCGGAAUCGCUAGUAAUCGUAGAUCAGAAUGCUACGGUGAAUACGUUCCCGGGUCUUGUACACACCGC
rnacentral:rRNA from 1 species